rnacentral:rRNA from 1 species
CAGGUGGCGAACGGGUGAGUAACACGUGGGUGAUCUGCCCUUCACUUCGGGAUAAGCCUGGGAAACUGGGUCUAAUACUGGAUAGGACCAUCGUUUAGUGUCGGUGGUGGAAAGUUUUUUCGGUGGAGGAUGAGCUCGCGGCCUAUCAGCUUGUUGGUGGGGUAAUGGCCUACCAAGGCGACGACGGGUAGCCGGCCUGAGAGGGUGGACGGCCACAUUGGGACUGAGAUACGGCCCAG